rnacentral:rRNA from 1 species
AGAGUUUGAUCCUGGCUCAGAAUGAACGCUGGCGGCGUGCCUAACACAUGCAAGUCGGAUGUGCCCGCAAGGGUGCAUGGCAGACGGGUGAGUAACGCGUGGGGAAUCUACCUCUUUGUGGGGAAUAACGCUCCGAAAGGAGUGGUAAUACCGCAUGAGAUCCAUGGCUGGAAUGUUGUGGAUGAAACCUGGGGACCUUCGGGCCUGGGGCAAGGAGAGGAUCCUGCGUCUGAUUAGCUAGUUGGUGAGGUAACGGCCCACCAAGGCAACGAUCAGUAGCCGGCCUGAGAGGGUGAUCGGCCACACUGGAACUGAGACACGGUCCAGACUCCUACGGGAGGCAGCAGUGGGGAAUUUUGCGCAAUGGGCGAAAGCCUGACGCAGCAACGCCGCGUGGGUGAUGAAGGUCUUCGGAUCGUAAGAACCCUGUCGUCGGGGACGAAGGUGUGGGGGUUAAUA